rnacentral:tRNA from 1 species
GGGGACGUAGCUCAAUUGGGAGAGCGCCGCGUUCGCAAUGCGGAGGUUGCCGGUCCGAUCCCGGUCGUCUCCACCA